rnacentral:rRNA from 1 species
CCUACGGGCGGCUGCAGUCGGGAAUAUUGCGCAAUGGAGGAAACUCUGACGCAGUGACGCCGCGUGCAGGAAGAAGGUUUUCGGAUUGUAAACUGCUUUAGACAGGGAAGAAAAAAGACAGUACCUGUAGAAUAAGCUCCGGCUAACUACGUGCCAGCAGCCGCGGUAAUACGUAGGGAGCAAGCGUUAUCCGGAUUUAUUGGGUGUAAAGGGCGUGCAGCCGGGAAGACAAGUCAGAUGUGAAAUCCCGCGGCUCAACCGCGGAACUGCAUUUGAAACUGUUUUUCUUGAGUACCGGAGAGGUCAUCGGAAUUCCUUGUGUAGCGGUGAAAUGCGUAGAUAUAAGGAAGAACACCAGUGGCGAAGGCGGAUGACUGGACGGCAACUGACGGUGAGGCGCGAAAGCGUGGGGAGCAAACAGGAUUAGAUACCCCUGUAGUC